CUCAGUGAAUUAAACUUUGUUCUGGGAGCGCUGUGCUACCCCGCAGUGACCUGACCAGCCAAGUGUUACCCCUCUGGUUAAGCAAAACUAGGCAAACAUCAGUACUGUUCUAUGGCUGACUUGAGGACUAGAGCACAGAUAGCCUGUGAGACCUACCUAAAAUCUCCAGAGGGCCAAGAUUGACAGAACAGCACAUGGUAAGGGGAGCUUCAGUGCAUCCCAAGUCUAUAAAACAGAUGCAGAAAGCAAAGUCAAAAGGAGAGAGAGUGAUGAGAAAAAUGGCAAUCAGAAGCAGACACCAGGGAAAAAUUUUAAAAUGCUCACAGCAGCUGUACAACAGAAACUGAGAAUAGGUCUGGAAACUACGACAAACAGGAUAGAAAGAGGACAUUUAUCGUAAUUACUACUUUCAUUGACAGUGCAUCUAGAAAGGUGUAGCACCAGGACCAGAAAGGGAGAACAAGUUUGUAAAUGUGCAUCUGGUUUAUGAGAGUGUUGGAGGUGACUCACAGGUUUUCAUUGGACUGAGAGCAUCGUUUUCCUCUGGGCACAGAUAAACUUCAAUAGGUCCUUGAGUACUCGAUAAAUGUAUCAAUGCACUCUGCUAACAGAACAAAUGUCGGGAAGACGUUACAGUAAUGAACACCACAGAACAUUGAAACUCACAAGGAAGUUAAGGACAGUGACAGGAAAAAAGAAAAAGAUGGAAACCAUAACGAGCCUACACAAGUAAAGAAGAACCUUGGUAAGAGAAGUGACAGCAUGGAGCCUGUUCCUGCCUGCCCAGGAGCAGGUAGCUCAGGGCUCACGGAACCAGCCCAGUGUCAGUGACAAAGGAAUAACACAG
rnacentral:lncRNA from 1 species